CCGGGACGCAUCAACAGCCGCUUCGACAAUGGAGGUGGAGAACAUGGUCCACUGGGACUCAAUGUCCCCAGCCUCCCCCAGGAUCUGGGAGAAGUUCUCCUGGAGGUGAGAGUUAAAGACCAUGCUGACAUCAGGCUCUGCCAGACGUUCCCAACAGACCCUCACAAC